UUAAGCAUAUCAGUAAGCAGAGGAAAAGAAAACAACUGUGAUUCCCUUAGUAACUGCGAGUGAAGCGGGAUAAGCCCAUCGUUUAAUCUUCUCGGACUAUGGACGAGACGAAAUGUAACGGUAUGGAUAGGUUCUCUAUCGACAGUGUCUGGUCAAAGUCCUCCGGAUUGAGGUGCCAAAGAGGGUGACAGCCCCGUGUGUGACUGGAUAGUGAGUGGUGUCGAGUAUGUGACCGAUUCCGAGAGUCGGGUUGUUUGGGACUGCAACCUAAAGCAGGUGGUAAACUCCACCCAAGGCUAAAUAUUGACACGAAACCGAUAGCGAACAAGUACUGUGAAGGAAAGUUGAAAAGAACUCUGAAAAGAGAGUUAAAAGUACGUGAAACCGCUAACGGGGAAGCGGAAGGCAGUGUCGAGAUUGAGUGAGUGAGUUGUGUCAACGCUCUAUUUUUAUAUUUAUCAACUGCACAACAUGAACAUGGUGUGGGUUGGUAAAGAUCAAGAUGGGAGUUGGUGCAACUAGCUUUGCUUGAUGCGUCAGGACUAUUGGUGUGCGAUGGUUCAAUUGUCGGCAUGGCUUCCACGACACCCAAGUAUUCGUAUUUGGGCUCGUGGCUGCGGCAGGCAAUCCACCUCGUGUGCUGAUAUGUUUGUGGAGAGAGGCGUUGGUGAUGUUAUUGUCGGUUGGUGUUGUGUGGUGCUCCGCAUAGUCACAAUGUGGCAAUGUUUAAUGGAGAAGUCAUGUGAUAGUUCAACAACCAGUGCCAGUUCCUGACGUGAUACCUAACCUUCCGACCCGUCUUGAAACACGGACCAAGGAGGCAGAAUCUAGAGCGAGUUGGAGGGUGAAAAACCCGACGGCGUAGUGAAAGCGAGAGAUAAGAUCUUUCUAUUAUUAUAUGUAACGAAGGAGCAUUAUCGGCCAGUCAUCUUGUUUUGUUGGGGUGAUUGAGUUUGAGCUCUAGAUGCUGGACCCGAAAGAUGGUGAACUAUGCGUGAGCAGGGCGAAGCCAGAGGAAACUCUGGUGGAGGCUCGAAGCGAUUCUGACGUGCAAAUCGAUCGUUUGACUUGCGUAUAGGGGCGAUAGACUAAUCGAACCAUCUAGUAGCUGGUUCCCUUCGAAAUAUCCCUCAGGAUCGCUGAGACAAGUGGGAGACAGUUUCAUCGGGUAGAGCGAAUGAUUAGAGGAAUCGGGGAUAUAUUACUCUCGACCUAUUCUCAAACUUCCAACCGGUGAGAGUGUUGUUUACUUUGGGGUUGUUGUUGAUCUUCUAAUCAAUGAUGCAAUGAUGACGUUGAUGAUGAAAUGACACGUGGAAUGUUUUUGUCUCAAGUGGGCCAUUUUUGGUAAGCAGAACUGGCGAUGCGGGAUGAACCGAGAGUUGAGCUAAGGUGCCUAAGGACACGUUGAUAGAUACCACAAAAGGAGUCGGUCGAUAAAGACAGCAGGGCGGUGGCCCUGAAAGUAGGAAUCCGCUAAGGAAUUGUCUAAAAACUCACCUGCCGAAUCGACCGGCCCUGAAAAUGGAUGGCGCUGAAGCGUGUCACCGAUGCUCGACCUCCACCACGAGAGAUGCUGGUGGAGGGUAGAAGGGCGCGGCGGUAGCAAUAAAGUACAAAGUGUAAACUUGUAUGGAGCUGCCGUCGGUGUAGAUCUUGGUGGUAGUAGCAAUUAUAAAAGUGAAAACCUUUUAGGCCGAAGUGGAGAAGGGUUCCACGUGAACAGCAGUUGGACGUGGGUUAGUCGGUCCUAAGCGGUUGCCUAACGGUAUAAAAAGCCAACUUUUAUGCUGUUUGUUAUAAAUGGUUGGAGUCCGCGAAAGGGAAUCAGGUUAAUAUUCCUGAACCGGGCUAUGGAGACGUUGUUUGUCAUUGCGCGCGUAGAUGGUGUUGUUAAAUGUUGAUGGCGCCAGAUGUGUGUGUGAGUAGACGAGCAACUUAGCGGUAACGCAAACAAUCUCGGAGACGUUGACAUCUAUGGCGGAGAGAAUUAUCUUUUCUGUAUAACAGGUAACCUACCUUGGAAUCGAGUCAUUCGGAGAUAAGGUAAAAAGCCUGGAAGAGCACCGCAACUAUUGCAGUGUCCGCAUUGUAGGUGUCGGCCCUUGAAAAUCCGAGGGAGUGGAUAAAUUUCAUGCCCGUCCGUACCGAAUCCGCAUCAGGUCUCCUAGGUGAGCAGCCUCUGGCACUGGAACAAUGUAGGUAAGGGAAGUCGGCAAAAUAGAUCCGUAACUUCGGGAAAAGGAUUGGCUCUAAGGGCCGGGCCAAUGGAGCUGGUAUUGCCUAGGUUAGUGGGCGUCCGAUUGGGUGUUUUUAAUAAUCUCACUACUCUAAUGGUGUGUGUUGUUUGAAAUGCUUGAUCGGCUGAACGCUGGCCAUGGAAUGCCGGCGUGAGUUGAUAAAAUUUGUGGUGGCGUCUCUCACAUUAUCAAUGAAUGUUGAUAGUGUGGGCGGUGUUGUUGCCAAUUGUCAUUGUCAACUCUUUACGAUUGGCAAGCAUCGGCCAGCUUAGAACUGUUACCAACUUGGGGAAUCCGACUGUUUAAUUAAAACAAAGCAUUGCGAUGGCCGGAAACGGUGUUGACGCAAUGUGAUUUCUGCCCAGUGCUCUGAAUGUUAAAGUGCGGAAACGCAACCAAGCACGGGUAAACGGCGGGAGUAACUAUGACUCUUUAAAGGUAGCCAAAUGCCUCGUCAUCUAAUUAGUGACGCGCAUGAAUGGAUCAACGAGAUUCCCACUGUCCCUACCUACCAUCCAGCGAAACCACAGUCAAGGGAACGGGCUUGACUGAGACAGCGGGGAAAGAAGACCCUGUUGAGCUUGACUCUAGUUUGAUUUUGUGAGAAGACAUCAGGGGUGUAGAAUAGGUGGGAGAGUGCAUGCCUUUGGGUGUGUGUUCGCAAGUGAAAUACCACUACCUUGAUCGUUUUCACACUAAGUCGGUUGCACGGGAAAUACUUGCUCUUAUGUGAUAUGUGAGGGCAGGUGGAUUCGUUGCUAUAAGGCAGACAUUAUCGAUAGUUGUGAUCUGUUGACCCAUCGCCGAUGACAGAAUCAGAUG
rnacentral:rRNA from 1 species